GUGUCAGCAGCCGCGGUAAGACGGAGGUCCCGAGCGUUGUUCGGAAUUAUUGGGCUUAAAGCGCGUGUAGGCGGAGCCGUAAGUACCUUGUGAAAUCCCCGGACUCAAUCCGGGAACUGCUCGGUAUACUGCGAUUCUCGAGGCAGGUAGAGGUCACUGGAACCUUAGGUGGAGCGGUGAAAUGCGUAGAUAUCUAAGGGAACGCCUGUGGCGAAAGCGGGUGACUGGGCCUGUCCUGACGCUGAGACGCGAAAGCGUAGGGAGCAAACGGGAUUAGAUACCCCGGUAGUCC
rnacentral:rRNA from 1 species